GAUGAACGCUAGCGGCAGGCUUAAUACAUGCAAGUCGAGGGGCAGCGCAGUGUAGCAAUACAUGGGCGGCGACCGGCAAACGGGUGCGGAACACGUACGCAAUCUACCCAAAACUGAUGAAUAGCCCUCCGAAAGGAGGAUUAAUACAUCGUAACUUAAUGAAGUGGCAUCGCUUUAUUAAUAUAGCUCCGGCGGUUUUGGAUGAGCGUGCGCCUGANAGGUAGUUGGCGGGGUAACGGCCCACCAAGCCUGCGAUCAGUAACUGGUGUGAGAGCACGACCAGUCACACGGGCACUGAGACACGGGCCCGACUCCUACGGGAGGCAGCAGUAAGGAAUAUUGGUCAAUGGACGCAAGUCUGAACCAGCCAUGCCGCGUGGAGGAUGAAGGUCCUCUGGAUUGUAAACUUCUUUUAUGUGGACGAAACCUCUUAUUCUUAAGAGACUGACGGUACCA
rnacentral:rRNA from 1 species